AGUUCCAAAUGAGAACAACAGCCAGCAACACGCAAUGGGAAUCACCAGAGAUGGCCCCUUGGGGCAAGGCUGAGCCAAAAGGGAGGCAUGCAUAUCCUCACACAGCCUUCUGAACAGCAAGCCUUGGGAUAUGAGCAAUGGAAGGAAACAACAAGAGACAGACAGCAAGAGAAAUGCCCUAGGGAGCACUGAAUUCCAUACUACAACUACCUCACAAAAAAGCUCCUGAGACAGCGCAGACACCCACAGACCCUACGUGCUCUUCCCCAGAGAGACAUGGAAGCUGUAAGCAGCCAACCUGCAGGAAGGCAGCAGCCAAAGGGACAAGGACCACUUCUUCCCCAGGGAGCCCAGUGGAUGAGCAACCAAAACCUUGAAUUAUUGCUUCUGAGCCGCCUCAAUACAGUAACUGAUAGGCAGUUGAAACUGAGCCAGUGUCCUCCAAACAGCCUCAAUUUUAUGUCUGCUGCAGCUCUCUGCAGUCGCAGAGGACAGGCUGUUAGCAUGUUUUGAAACAGGACCCAGAAUUUCUGUUUAGAUGAUUGUUUUAAUCUGUGUUUGUUCACUGUAGGUAAAUUUAGAAGAUAGAAUAGUUCUGUUAAAAGGGAUCUGCAGAUGUGAUCAAGUCCAACUGCCUGGCCACUUCAAGGCUAACCAGAACUUACGGCACGAUAUUGAGGGCAUUGCCCAAAUGCCUCUUGAAUGCUGGACAGAUCUGGAGCAUUGAUCCCUCUAGGAAGACUGUUCAGUGUUUGACCACUCUUACAAGACCUUUCUCCAGUGCCCAGCCUGACGUUCCCUCACUGCAUGAGUUAGCCUUCUUGCAACUUCCACAGGCAAAAUAAUUCUAGGAUUAAAUCACAACUCUGCUGGACAUCAGACACUGCUACCGAACAGCUGCCUGGCAGCAUUAACCCCACAUCUUGUCAAAUUCAUUCACUCUUAAAGAAAUAGCUUAAGGAUUUAUAAUCAGAAACAUUGGCAGUGGGGUGCAAGCUUAUGAUUUUCAAUUCCUAUAGUCCAAUCAACAUGUUAUAAUUAAAAAAUCAGGGCUCUUUCAUUCUACAUGCAAUUUCAAGACGUUUACAGCUGAUUUGUACAUUGAUACAUCCUUCCUUAAUGCGAACACACAACAACGAAGAGUUUAGGCAUAAGCACGGCACACUGAAGCUUUCUUUAAAACUGCCUGGAUCACACUGAGAUGAGGUCUGUACUGAGGGGGUGCAUCCCACCACAUAUCCCAAGCAGACUUCUCCCUGAAGCAGCAAUUGGGACAGCCUGCUCUGCACUUCCAGUGGAAGCAUGCUCUGUAGGAUGAAGAAAUUUGCAAGGCACACCAGAAGGUAUUCUCAGACAUGUCAGAAGGACAGUACUGAUGCACAUCCCCAGCUGCUUCUUCACAGUUGUGCUAACAAAGGCACAAAGAGCAGCUCCCAGGUUGAGGUCCCGCCAGUCUACAGCUACAGGGAAUGCAGAGCUUCCAUUCAUACGCUUCUGUUGCAUUGCACAACAGCUGGAAAUCCUUUCUGCAGGCUCUCUGCAUUCUCUCAGCCUAGAAAGAUACUCAAUUUUAAAUUUUGUACCUGUGAGUUGUAUUAAUAAAUUCCCUAUGUGUAUGCGUGGAUCACAUAUUAUUAUCACUAAUGUGGACAGUCUGUAGUCGGGAUGUUCUUCUGUAAAGCAUACUGCUGGAAUUCCAAACGCUGGCUGUUCUGGCUGGAAGUUUUCAGGAUCCAAAUAAAUCACUGUGUUCAGUUCACUUACUCAAGGAGUAAGUUUCCCACCACAGCACUAUCACGAGUCCUCCUACCACUCUGUACACAAGUACUGAUGCAUCAGUGAAGAUCAGCAGCAUUUUGCUAUUUCUCUGUUCUAGUCUAUAAAUAAUCUCCAGGAUUCCUCAUCAGACAACAGACGUAAAUAGCCCAGCAUUUUUUGAAACACCAAAGUACUCUGAUGAAAAACAAACAGAAAAAAAAGCAUGUGAAAAACAACACAUACUGCCCUUACUGUGCAUCUGAGCUUUUUUUUUUUAAUUACUGCAAUAGACAGUGAGUCAGAAAUCUGACGUAAAAUUCUGUACAACUUGGACACUGAGAAAACAACAACAUGGCAAAUACCGAUAGCAUUUGAUCAAAGAAGUUUGUCCAGGGAAGAACUGAGCAUGCUUAUGAGGAGCAUCUUCCAUCCUGUCCACCUCCCCUCCCUCCUAAACUCUGACCAACACCCGCAGCUCUUGGUCUCUCAAAUGUGAGCCGAAGGCUGUCUUGUGGAAGUCACUGCCCAUCAAUAUGUGAUGCUCAAAGGAGCUUCUGAAGCCUCUGGAAAGCUUUACAACAGAACAUUCAAAGUUACUUCUU
rnacentral:lncRNA from 7 species